ACCUGGUUAUAUCCUGAGACAUUACCUGGUUAUAACCUAGUUAUAUACUGAGACAUUUCCUGGGUAUAACCUGGUUAUAACCUGGUUAUAUCCUGAGACAUUAC